rnacentral:lncRNA from 1 species
GCCAGGAUGUCUAGCUGACAUUCUGCUGGCCUGCCUGCUCAUUUCUUUGUGCUUUCAUCACCCAUGAAUCCACAGGACAGAAGGCCAAACGCAGCGAAAAAUCAAAAGACAAGGCCCAGAACAGCAUGAUAUACCUGGGGGAUCUACCAGAGAGGCAAUGCAUAUUUCAAGAACACAGUGCUGUGGGCAUUCAGCUUGGAGAGUUCUCCGGUUUCCAGACCAAAAGCUGCAGUCUAUUAAGCCUAUAGAAGCAGAAAUUUGCCUUGCCAGGUGCAAACUUGUUGUCUGCAGAGACCGAGAGCCAAGAGUCUUCGACGCUGCUUCUGGGUAUGACACGUGACUUCAGGCAAGGGGGGGUUGGUAUUUUCUGGGAUUUUUGUUGUUGUUAUUUUCUC